rnacentral:rRNA from 1 species
CACGUCGGGCGCAAGCGUUGUCCGGAAUUAUUGGGCGUAAAGAGCUCGUAGGCGGUCUGUUACGUCUGGUGUGAAAACCCAGGGCUUAACCCUGGGCUUGCAGUGGAUACGGGCAGACUAGAGGCAGGUAGGGGAGAAUGGAAUUCCCGGUGUAGCGGUGAAAUGCGCAGAUAUCGGGAGGAACACCGGUGGCGAAGGCGGUUCUCUGGGACGGUACUGACGCUGAGACGCGAAAGCGUGGGGAGCGAACAGG